rnacentral:rRNA from 1 species
GACGAACGCUGGCGGCGUGCCUAACACAUGCAAGUCGAACGGGGUAUUUCUUCGGAGAUACUUAGUGGCGAACGGGUGAGUAACGCGUGAGAAACCUGCCUUUCAGUGGGGGACAACAGUUGGAAACGACUGCUAAUACCGCAUAAUGUCAUUUGGGGGCAUCCCUGAAUGACCAAAGAUUUAUUGCUGAAAGAUGGUCUCGCGUCUGAUUAGCUAGAUGGCGGGGUAACGGCCCACCAUGGCGACGAUCAGUAGCCGGUCUGAGAGGAUGAACGGCCACAUUGGGACUGAGAUACGGCCCAG